rnacentral:rRNA from 1 species
UACGGAGGGUGCAAGCGUUACUCGGAAUCACUGGGCGUAAAGAGCGCGUAGGCGGAAUAGCAAGUCAGAUGUGAAAACUAUGGGCUCAACCCAUAGCCUGCAUUUGAAACUAUCGUUCUUGAGUGUUGGAGAGGCAGGCGGAAUUCCGUGUGUAGCGGUGAAAUGCGUAGAUAUACGGAGGAACACCAGUGGCGAAGGCGGCCUGCUGGACAAUAACUGACGCUGAGGCGCGAAAGCGUGGGGAGCAAACAGG